rnacentral:rRNA from 1 species
UACGUAGGGGGCUAGCGUUGUCCGGAUUUAUUGGGCGUAAAGAGCGUGUAGGCGGCCAGGUAGGUCCGUUGUGAAAACUCGAGGCUCAACCUCGAGACGUCGGCGGAAACCCUCUGGCUAGAGUCCGGAAGAGGAGAGUGGAAUUCCUGGUGUAGCGGUGAAAUGCGCAGAUAUCAGGAAGAACACCCGUGGCGAAGGCGGUUCUCUGGGACGGUACUGACGCUGAGACGCGAAAGCGUGGGGAGCGAACAGG